UACGGAGGGUGCAAACGUUGCUCGGAAUUAUUGGGCGUAAAGCGCACGUAGGCGGCCGACUAAGUCGGGUGUGAAAGCCCAGGGCUCAACCCUGGAAGUGCACUCGAAACUGAUCGGCUUGAAUAUGGAAGAGGGUCGCGGAAUUCCCGGUGUAGAGGUGAAAUUCGUAGAUAUCGGGAGGAACACCAGUGGCGAAGGCGGCGACCUGGGCCAAUAUUGACGCUGAGGUGCGAAAGCGUAGGGAGCAAACGGG
rnacentral:rRNA from 1 species